UUCACCUUUGGCUAAUCACGAAUAGAAAAAAGUUGAAGUGCUUCAGUACGUCAGAUAAGAACGAGAAUUUCGUAUAAUUGAUGUAUUAUACUUCGUCAACACUUGUAGGCCACUGCAAAGAAAAUUUUCAUUCAUCAACCAGUUGUAACAGAGAGCGGAUUCAAGAUGCCAGGAUUCGUGCGUUUUCAUGAACAUUCGAGUUCACCUCAGCGCCAUCAAGGUUCAUUUGAGAGAUAUUUGCAGGAGUCUACCAACCAUCCCCUCUUUGAAUGUGACUUCUGCGGAAAAACUUUUAAUAACAAAGAUAAUCUAACUGUGCACAUACUCGAGCACAUAAAUAAUCAACUUGUGGAACGUGAAACGGUUGAUUUAAACGAGGAAGGUCUUGGACAGGCGCCCAAACGUCGGUAUGAAUGUUACUUGUGUAAUAAA